rnacentral:lncRNA from 1 species
AUCCACCAUUAUUUACAACUUCAUUUGCUAAGUGCAGUUAUAAUGACUACAUAUAAAUACAUUUGAUUGAACUAAUUUUAUGACUUUCUGUAAAUAUAUUUAGGAUCUAGAAGCGAUAAAUAUUUUGUUACAUAUUAGUGGCUCAUAUUCACCAAUUUGCGCAUAUAUAUGUAUAUACAUCUCAUUCUAAGCAUAUAUAUGUAUAUACAUCUCAUUCUAAGUUCUGCAUCUUAUCUAAAUUAAGCUCUUUUAUAGCUUAAUUAUAUUUAUUUCAUUUAAUUACAUAAGCUUUAGCUAAGUCAAAUUAAUAAAAUAUAAUGGAACUUAGUAAAAGUACAAUAUCGAAAUCUAGAGCUCACCGAAUUAGAAUUAGAUUGUAGAACUGUGAUCACCAUAGAGGACUAAAUUCUACCUCUUCAAACCUCGCACGAGUCCCACCAGCUGUCGCAGGUGACCGCCAUGCAUGGUGGCCAAAAAAUUGGUUUCGACGAAGAAGGCCAUCAAAUCGCUUGAAUUUUCUCCUGGAGUCCACAUUAGACUUGAAUUUGCAGAAAGGAGAAGUCCUUUAGCCCGAAUAGCAUUGACAGCCUCCUCCUUGUCGUCAAUCAUGCGGAUUUGGCCGGAAAAUGAGAAAGAAAGGGGGAGGGGACUAUUAGUGUGAC